rnacentral:rRNA from 1 species
AUGUCUCUCGGCAGGCCCAGCCGCGGCAAUGCCGCCGCAGGCGGCGGUAGCGGCGAUGAUCGAGCCGCUGCGCCGCUCGGCAACAUCUGGCCCCGGAGCUUCGCGCUGCGCGACCGGCGGGGCCAAUCCGGCGGUGGCGGCGGUCCGGCGCUGCCCGGCGCCCUCGUCCUCGGGGGCUUCCCGCGGCACGACCUCCCCGCCCCACCCGACGGGCCCGACCUCAACGCCGUCGUCGCGCCGCCGGUGAGCCAAGUUGCCCCAGCCCCAGCUCGUCCUUCCCAGGCCUGUGUACAAAAACUCCGAGCUCGUGUCCAUACCCUGGAGACUGCAUUUUCUGACGCCGAUAGGAUUUUAAGGGAUAUUCAAGGUGAAAUACAACAGAUGAGGGAGGAGGGGCAUGAGAAAGACAGGCAAAUCCGAUCUAUCGUUGAAGAUUCAGAGAAGGAACGUCAGACAAGGCACAUUAGAAUCAAGCAAUUCGACCAUGAUAAAGAGCUGAUGCGUGGCACCCUUCAGGGAUACAAAGAAAAACUUAAGAAGUCUUCUGAUGCAUUUCUGGAGUAUAAGAAGAUGUGUGAAGGAAGUGGCGUGUCAUCUUCGGGUGUUGUGGCUGAUGAGCAAAAUCGUAUUCUUAUGAUGCGGCAGAAGUACGCAGAGGACAUUAAUGCGCUUCAGAGAGAUGUGUGUUUGAGCUUUGCAGCAUGUGCUAAAGAGAUUACAAUGCUGGCAACAUGGACUGCAUACCUCAACAAUGAACUUCAAAGGCUGAAUGAUUAUAUACAAAUUCCAGAUCUCAACAAUGGGGGCCCUCAACUGUGA